AAAAUACAUCAGCAGGAACCCAACAGCAACAACAGCUGUAGCGAAAAGAAACAUCAUCAUUAUCAUCACCAUCACCAUCAUCGUCAUCAUCAUCAUCAUCAUUGACAAAUAUAUAUCCGACAUUAAACUAUAUAUCAGCAGGAACAACCAGCAACGACAGCAGCAGCAACAACAACAGCAGCAACGAGAGCAGCAGCAGCAGCAGCAGCAAAACUAACAGAAAAACAACUGCUAUAGCUACGGACAAAGAUUAGUUUUUGAGAUUCUUCUGCUUAGAUCUGACGGGACUGCCCCUACACUGUCGCUUUCCGAUGACAACUUGCAUCUUUGUGUAAACUAUACACAUUUUGUCGUGCAACAAGCUCUGCAUCUAUAUAGCAAACUGUACAAAUUCGAUGCGCAUAUCAGAACUCAGAAACAGGCCUUAAACAAAUUUGUUUUUUUUUUGUUUUAUUAUCAUUCGCGGUACAUACACCUUUCUUCCUAACUAAUUAAUUUUCCAUUUGUAUCCUCUCCCUCUCUAUCUCUCUGUCCGUCUGUCUCUCUCUUUCUCUGUUUCGUCGCUGAUUUUUUUUUCGGUAUUUUUGUGCAUAUUAACUUUUAAUUUUUGUAUUUGUUUCUGUCUCCUCACCCCUUAUUUUAACUGUUGUUACCCUAUACCAUAUAAUACUACAUUAUAUUAUAUUAUAUAAUACUAUAUUACAUAUAUAUAUAUAUAUAUGCACACAUACACACACAUACCUGCGUAUAUAUACAUACAUACAUGCCCACACAGAUGAAUUCAAAAUAAGACUAACUUUUAAAAUUUUGACUUUCGCCGCUAAAUUUUAACCCCACCCACUGUCUUUUUUUCCUUAUUUUUAUUCUCCAAUAUUCUUCAAAUAUCUCUCAAUAUUUUAUAUUAUUUUAUAUUCUAAGUCAAGAAUUAUACCAGUCAUCACCAUUAAUAUAUAUAUCUUUAAUAAUAAUAUUAAUAAUAAUAACAACAUAAAUAUUACUAUGAUAAGUUUGUCAUUGACUACAUUCUUCGAUUAAUUAAUUUUGCUAAGUUAUUUUUUUUACCAUUGUCAAGACUAUUAUCAUUAUCAUUAUUAUUAUUAUUAUUAUUAUUAUUAUCAUUAUUAGAUAUUCAUGAUAUUUUGAUUUUGAUACUGUUAUUAUUUGAUAUGUUAUAAAUAUUAGUUUAAAAAAAAUAGCACAAUAAGCGAAUCAUUCGUGCACUUUCCCCCCUCUCCUUGCUUUCACUCUCUCUCUCUUGGUUAAAUGUGUGGCCAUCGUAUCCCCUUAUUGAAUUUAAAACGGCCCCAAACUGAGUUAAUUAAAAAACAAAGCAAUUAAGGAGCAUAAAAGGAGCUUAAAAGAAAUUAUUAUUUAAACUAACAAUUAUAAUUUUUUUUCCUUUAAUUUUUUUUUUCAAUUUCAUUUUAAAAAUAACUUGUUACCUCCAUCGUUAUUCUUGUUAUUGUUGUUGUUAUUAGUAGUGGUGGUACUGGUGGUGGUGUUGGUACGUUUCGUUGUUGUUUGUAGUUCGUGUUCUUAAAGUAUCUGUCUUUUGAAAAACAACCCGUUCCUCCUCAUCCCACUCCUUCACCUAGCUUUUUUUUUUUCUCUCCCUCUGUUCCUAUCUUUCUCUCUCUAUCUCUCUCACGUUGUGGUUGGUGAUUCCCGCUGUGCACCGACAGGCAGAAAUGACACCCUCGCCUACCGUACCCGUCCCCGUCGGAGAUGGAACCAUGAAGAUCAUUGAAAGACCCAAGGAUGAAGAAGAACGCGAAACUUGGGGCAAAAAGUUAGAUUUUCUUCUAUCCGUGAUCGGUUUUGCCGUAGACCUCGGCAAUGUCUGGAGAUUUCCCUACAUCUGCUAUCGUAAUGGAGGUGG
rnacentral:lncRNA from 1 species